AGCCACGCAGUGAGCACAAAGCGAACUAUUCUUUCGCCUUUUACUAAAGAAUACCGUGUGGACGCUGCAUUUAGUGGCAUACGCUUAUUUUUGGAGGGGUUCUCAAUUGAGUGCC
rfam:Nicotiana sylvestris Nsyl_contig286738, whole genome shotgun sequence.